ACUCUAAGCGGUGGAUCACUCGGCUCAUGGGUCGAUGAAGAACGCAGCAAACUGUGCGUCAUCGUGUGAACUGCAGGACACAUGAACAUCGACAUUUUGAACGCAUAUCGCAGUCCAUGCUGUUAUGUACUUUAAUUAAUUUUAUAGUGCUGCUUGGACUACAUAUGGUUGAGGGUUGUAAGACUAUGCUAAUUAAGUUGCUUAUAAAUUUUUAUAAGCAUAUGGUAUAUUAUUGGAUAAAUAUAAUAAUUUUUAUUCAUAAUAUUAAAAAAUAAAUGAAAAACAUUAUCUCACAUUUGAAUGUGAAAAACGAAGAGAAAUAUUUUCUUUUUCAAUCAAAUAAUACUGAGAAAUGUCUAGCAUAAAAAAUUGAAAUAUUUUUCAUCUAGAAUUGUCUCUUAUUAAUGAUUCGGAAAUAGAAAAAUCUUGGUUAUGUUAUUAUUCUUCGUUGGUUCGUUAAAAAUGGAUAAAUAAAAACUUUGCAUACAAGAAUUAAUAAAAAUGUUAUAACGAAUUUAAUUAAAUGUUUUAUCAUUAUAUAUAAAGAAUUUAUGGCAAGAUAAAGUUAUAUACAACCUCAACUCAUAUGGGACUACCCCCUGAAUUUAAGCAUAUUAAUUAGGGGAGGAAAAGAAACUAACAAGGAUUUUCUUAGUAGCGGCGAGCGAAAAGAAAACAGUUCAGCACUAAGUCACUUUGUCUAUAUGGCAAAUGUGAGAUGCAGUGUAUGGAGCGUCAAUAUUCUAGUAUGAGAAAUUAACGAUUUAAGUCCUUCUUAAAUGAGGCCAUUUACCCAUAGAGGGUGCCAGGCCCGUAUAACGUUAAUGAUUACUAGAUGAUGUUUCCAAAGAGUCGUGUUGCUUGAUAGUGCAGCACUAAGUGGGUGGUAAACUCCAUCUAAAACUAAAUAUAACCAUGAGACCGAUAGUAAACAAGUACCGUGAGGGAAAGUUGAAAAGAACUCUGAAUAGAGAGUUAAACAGUACGUGAAACUGCUUAGAGGUUAAGCCCGAUGAACCUGAAUAUCCGUUAUGGAAAAUUCAUCAUUAAAAUUGUAAUAUUUAAAUAAUAUUAUGAGAAUAGUGUGCAUUUUUUCCAUAUAAGGACAUUGUAAUCUAUUAGCAUAUACCAAAUUUAUCAUAAAAUAUAACUUAUAGUUUAUUCCAAUUAAAUUGCUUGCAUUUUAACACAGAAUAAAUGUUAUUAAUUUGAUAAAGUGCUGAUAGAUUUAUAUGAUUACAGUGCGUUAAUUUUUCGGAAUUAUAUAAUGGCAUAAUUAUCAUUGAUUUUUGUGUUUAUUAUAUGCACUUGUAUGAUUAACAAUGCGAAAGAUUCAGGAUACCUUCGGGACCCGUCUUGAAACACGGACCAAGGAGUCUAACAUAUGUGCAAGUUAUUGGGAUAUAAACCUAAUAGCGUAAUUAACUUGACUAAUAAUGGGAUUAGUUUUUUAGCUAUUUAUAGCUAAUUAACACAAUCCCGGGGCGUUCUAUAUAGUUAUGUAUAAUGUAUAUUUAUAUUAUUUAUGCCUCUAACUGGAACGUACCUUGAGCAUAUAUGCUGUGACCCGAAAGAUGGUGAACUAUACUUGAUCAGGUUGAAGUCAGGGGAAACCCUGAUGGAAGACCGAAACAGUUCUGACGUGCAAAUCGAUUGUCAGAAUUGAGUAUAGGGGCGAAAGACCAAUCGAACCAUCUAGUAGCUGGUUCCUUCCGAAGUUUCCCUCAGGAUAGCUGGUGCAUUUUAAUAUUAUAUAAAAUAAUCUUAUCUGGUAAAGCGAAUGAUUAGAGGCCUUAGGGUCGAAACGAUCUUAACCUAUUCUCAAACUUUAAAUGGGUAAGAACCUUAACUUUCUUGAUAUGAAGUUCAAGGUUAUGAUAUAAUGUGCCCAGUGGGCCACUUUUGGUAAGCAGAACUGGCGCUGUGGGAUGAACCAAACGUAAUGUUACGGUGCCCAAAUUAACAACUCAUGCAGAUACCAUGAAAGGCGUUGGUUGCUUAAAACAGCAGGACGGUGAUCAUGGAAGUCGAAAUCCGCUAAGGAGUGUGUAACAACUCACCUGCCGAAGCAACUAGCCCUUAAAAUGGAUGGCGCUUAAGUUGUAUACCUAUACAUUACCGCUAAAGUAGAUGAUUUAUAUUACUUGUGAUAUAAAUUUUGAAACUUUAGUGAGUAGGAAGGUACAAUGGUAUGCGUAGAAGUGUUUGGCGUAAGCCUGCAUGGAGCUGCCAUUGGUACAGAUCUUGGUGGUAGUAGCAAAUAAUCGAAUGAGACCUUGGAGGACUGAAGUGGAGAAGGGUUUCGUGUGAACAGUGGUUGAUCACGAGUUAGUCGGUCCUAAGUUCAAGGCGAAAGCCGAAAAUUUUCAAGUAAAACAAAAAUGCCUAACUAUAUAAACAAAGCGAAUUAUAAUACACUUGAAUAAUUUUGAACGAAAGGGAAUACGGUUCCAAUUCCGUAACCUGUUGAGUAUCCGUUUGUUAUUAAAUAUGGGCCUCGUGCUCAUCCUGGCAACAGGAACGACCAUAAAGAAGCCGUCGAGAGAUAUCGGAAGAGUUUUCUUUUCUGUUUUAUAGCCGUACUACCAUGGAAGUCUUUCGCAGAGAGAUAUGGUAGAUGGGCUAGAAGAGCAUGACAUAUACUGUUGUGUCGAUAUUUUCUCCUCGGACCUUGAAAAUUUAUGGUGGGGACACGCAAACUUCUCAACAGGCCGUACCAAUAUCCGCAGCUGGUCUCCAAGGUGAAGAGUCUCUAGUCGAUAGAAUAAUGUAGGUAAGGGAAGUCGGCAAAUUAGAUCCGUAACUUCGGGAUAAGGAUUGGCUCUGAAGAUUGAGAUAGUCGGGCUUGAUUGGGAAACAAUAACAUGGUUUAUGUGCUCGUUCUGGGUAAAUAGAGUUUCUAGCAUUUAUGUUAGUUACUUGUUCCCCGGAUAGUUUAGUUACGUAGCCAAUUGUGGAACUUUCUUGCUAAAAUUUUUAAGAAUACUAUUUGGGUUAAACCAAUUAGUUCUUAUUAAUUAUAACGAUUAUCAAUUAACAAUCAAUUCAGAACUGGCACGGACUUGGGGAAUCCGACUGUCUAAUUAAAACAAAGCAUUGUGAUGGCCCUAGCGGGUGUUGACACAAUGUGAUUUCUGCCCAGUGCUCUGAAUGUCAAAGUGAAGAAAUUCAAGUAAGCGCGGGUCAACGGCGGGAGUAACUAUGACUCUCUUAAGGUAGCCAAAUGCCUCGUCAUCUAAUUAGUGACGCGCAUGAAUGGAUUAACGAGAUUCCUACUGUCCCUAUCUACUAUCUAGCGAAACCACAGCCAAGGGAACGGGCUUGGAAUAAUUAGCGGGGAAAGAAGACCCUUUUGAGCUUGACUCUAAUCUGGCAGUGUAAGGAGACAUAAGAGGUGUAGAAUAAGUGGGAGAUAUUAGACCUCGGUUUGGUAUCGUCAAUGAAAUACCACUACUCUUAUUGUUUCCUUACUUACUUGAU
rnacentral:rRNA from 1 species